CUCAAUUCUAACCUUGUAACCUGGAAACAGCUCUUGUUAAUGCAAUCGAGUAUGACUGUUCUCCAAUAAAACUUUAUGAACACGGUUCCAGAGCGGAAGUCGUCUAGAGCUUGCGCGUCUUCCCCCCUGGAGAAAGAUUAAGCGGAUCCUCUCUCCAGGGUCCAGCAGUCCUCUAGCCCCCAGAGGUGCUUCCAUCCUGACGGUCAUGGGCACAGAAUUCAGAAGCUCCCAGGGAGCUGGCCCAGAGGAAGUCUCAGUAAAAACCUCUGUAUGGAUGAAAAGAAAAUUGAUUGGCUCAUCUAGACCUGAUUCUGACCAGCUUAAGCUAAUCAAGAAGUGCCACCUCCUUCUGUCUAAAACCCAG